CGGGACGCCUUAGAGGGUGAGAGCCCCGUACGGUUGGACACCAAGCCUCUGUAAAGCUCCUUCGACGAGUCGAGUAGUUUGGGAAUGCUGCUCUAAAUGGGAGGUAAAUUUCUUCUAAAGCUAAAUAUUGGCCAGAGACCGAUAGCGCACAAGUAGAGUGAUCGAAAGAUGAAAAGCACUUUGAAAAGAGGGUUAAAUAGCACGUGAAAUUGUUGAAAGGGAAGCGUUUGCGACCAGACCUUUUCUUAGCGGAUCAUCCGGUGUUCUCACCGGUGCACUUCGCUAAGUUUAGGCCAGCAUCGGUUUCUGUAGGGGGAUAAAAGCACUGGGAACGUAGCUCCUUCGGGAGUGUUAUAGCCCUAUGCAUAAUACCCUUAUGGGGACCGAGGACCGCGCUUAGGCAAGGAUGCUGGCAUAAUGGUCGUCAACGACCCGUCUUGAAACACGGACCAAGGAGUCGAACAUUUAUGCGAGUGUUUGGGUGUUAAACCCUCACGCGUAAUGAAAGUGAACGGAGGUGAGAGCCCUUACGGGUGCAUCAUCGACCGAUCCUGAUGUCUUCGGAUGGAUUUGAGUAAGAGCAUAACUGUUCGGACCCGAAAGAUGGUGAACUAUGCGUGGAUAGGGUGAAGCCAGAGGAAACUCUGGUGGAGGCUCGCAGCGGUUCUGACGUGCAAAUCGAUCGUCAAAUCUGCGCAUGGGGGCGAAAGACUUAUCGAACCAUCUAGUAGCUGGUUACCGCCGAAGUUUCCCUCAGGAUAGCAGUGUUGUUCUUCAGUUUUAUGAGGUAAAGCGAAUGAUUAGGGACUCGGGGGCGCUUUUUUGCCUUCAUCCAUUCUCAAACUUUAAAUAUGUAAGAAGCCCUUGUUACUUAAUUGAACGUGGGCAUUCGAAUGUACCAACACUAGUGGGCCAUUUUUGGUAAGCAGAACUGGCGAUGCGGGAUGAACCGAACGCGGGGUUAAGGUGCCGGAGUGGACGCUCAUCAGACACCACAAAAGGUGUUAGCACAUUUAGACAAUAGGACGGUGGCCAUGGAAGUCGGAAUCCGCUAAGGACUGUGUAACAACUCACCUAUCGAAUGUGCUAGCCCUGAAAAUGGAUGGCGCUCAAGCGUCCCACCCAUACCUCGCCCUCAGGGUAGAAACGAUGCCCUGAGGAGUAGGCGGCCGUGGGGGUCAGUGACGAAGC
rnacentral:rRNA from 1 species